AUAAACAGUCUUGCAUGAGUACACUUCCAUUCACAAAAAUGUCAAUCGCCUUGCAGACAAUAUAGCUGGCGGAUAUUACCCGAAGCUGAGGACAUGAACCAAAAGGAAUUCCAAAAGAAGAGGUUCAGAAUUGCAGACAUGAACAAGAAGCUGGUAACUAAGGAACCAUUCCAGGUACUAAGCUUAAGUGGUUGCAUACUGUGCAGUUAUGCAAAUUUUAUUUCAUUGAUGCAGACAGGUAGGAAGAUGUUACUUCCCAGGAGAAAAAGAAGUCUCCUCAUGCUGAGCAGCAUCAGCAUUUCUGUAGUUAACAUCAAACUGUGAAACCAACAUGGUUUCUAGAGGUAAACCAAUUAAUGUAGUUUCCACUGAAAAUGCUAGACACAACUGAAUGUACUGAUGAGAAAUUACCGUAUAACCAGUCCUUGAACUGUGCAUGAAGGGCGCUCAUCAAUUCCCUUCUCCGAUUGUCAUCAAGCUGCAGAUCCCGGAUAGUCUUUUGAAUAUCUUCCAGAGCAGAAUGCUGAAAGUGAAUAUGGCAUAUUCAGGAACAUGUGCUUUUAGGAACAAAGCAUGCUAAAACCUUUAUGAGAAGCCAUUAGAACAUAUACUUAAGAGACAAAGAGAUUAUGAUAUAGUCUAGCUCCAUUGCAUUUAGUCACUUAGUGUACCUUUUUGCUUUGGGAUGCCCCAUAAAUUUCAGGUAAUGGAAAAGGGUUGCAAUUUGUAGGCUCUUGCACUUCAGCCCCAAACCAACUAGGAAUC